rnacentral:rRNA from 1 species
AAUGAACGCUGGCGGCAGGCUUAACACAUGCAAGUCGAACGAGUGGCGGACGGGUGAGUAAUGCUUGGGAAUCUAGCUUAUGGAGGGGGAUAACUACGGGAAAACGUAGCUAAUACCGCGUACGACAGGUUGAGGCCACGUGGGAUUAGGUAGUUGGCGAGGUAAAGGCUCACCAAGCCGACUAUCUCUAGCUGGUCUGAGAGGAUGACCAGCCAGACUGGGACUGAGACACGGCCCAGACUCCUACGGGAGGCAUCAGUGGGGAAUAUUGCGCAAUGGGGGCAACCUGACGCAGCCAUGCCGCGUGAAUGAAGAAGGCCUUCGGGUUGUAAGGUUCUUUCGGUAGCGAGGCGUUAACUACAGAGGAAGCACCGGCUAACUCCGUGCCAGCAGCCGCGGUAAUUC